CUCAGGCCUUACCUAGACGCAAAAGCACAAAGUGCUAAACAACAGCUAAAAGCUGCACACUGUAAACAUAGCUCACCUCAGCCGCUUCCUCCGGCAUUCAGUUGUAAUCUAAAAAGCAGGCGGUGUGUCAUUGGAAGGCUGCUCUCCUCUCUGCUGGAAUGAGGUCAGCGCUGAAGACUCACACAUUAACCCUCGUUUUGUCACGGAAAGGUGCGCAAUGGGCUCAUCUGGACUGUUUGCUCCCAGCAAGGGCAAGAAGAAAGUCCAAACAGGUUCAAGAUGAGAUUAUUCCAACCAGAGGCUGAAGAUCGCCGUAACUACACAUCAAAGAUUUAGAAAGUAAAAAUGAUGUGCCGAUCCCUGCCCUGCUCCUUCAUUUGGUGAACUUGGAAGGGAUCAACAAGGCAAACGGCCGAGAGGAAAAGUGAUCUGCACAACCCCGACCAAUCCCGCUCCCCUCUCACUUCACCUCUAAACACCAUCACCGACUACCUAACCGUUUUCACACUUCUGCGACCAGUCCGCACCCUUCAUCGUGCGGUGCCACAUCACGUGGGGUGUUAUGGCCACCGGUGGCGUCUCUGCAGAGCUCUUUGUCAGUGAGACAGCAGGUGUGCCAUAACUCAGCCAACAAGCUGCCCCCAACCCCGAUAGUCAAGACUGCCAGUUGCCAUGGAGACCGGCUCAAUGAAGCAUCCAUUUUACCCCCUCACCUCCUACAAAUGGCCUCGCGAGGAUGGAUGCAUGCCACAAAUAAUAAUAAUAGGCCUGAUGAGUUUGUCUUUGUGCUAUGCAGUGCUGUAGCUAUUCAACUCAACAAAUGAUUCCAUAGCGUAACUUUUGUUUUUGGUGGAUUCAAGUUUAAUCUGCCAUGCAGGAUGAUUAUGUGCUUUAGCUAUGCUUCAAAAGGUGUCAAAGAACUAUUAACAAGCACCUCAGGUUACUAACUGCCGUCCAAGUGGUCUAUAAUUAAAAAACAAAACUGUAUCCAUGCAUUAAAAACAAGCUAACCAUUUA